CCAAAAGUCNGAUCCAGCAAUUCUGUGUGCUUGACCAAGGCCUUCGGGNAGAAAAGAGCUUCAAGUAGGGAAGAAGAAAGUGACGGUACCUACAGAAUAAGCGACGGCUAAAUACGUGCCAGCAGCCGCGGUAAUACGUAUGUCGCAAGGCGUUAUCCGGAAUUAUGGGGCAUAAAGGGCGUCUAGGCGGUUUAGAAAGUCUGAUGUGAAAAUGCGGGGCUCAACCCCGUAUUGCGCUGGAAACUACUAGACUAGAGUAUCGGAGAGGUAAGCGGAACUACANNNNNAGAGGUGAAAUGCGU
rnacentral:rRNA from 1 species